CCAUGUUCAAAUUUAGGUAAAAAAAUUGUGGGGAAGAUUGACGGUACUCUGAAAUUUUAAAAAUGACAACUAUUUAGAUAGAAUUUAAAGUUGAGAUUUGUCACUUUCAAAUUUUUUUUUUUUUCUCACAUGGAAUUUUUAAAUUUCUUUUUUUUUUUUUAAUAUCCAAACACGUUUUGGUUUUCAAUUUAAAAAUUAUGAUUUUUGUCAAAAUCCUAAUGGACCGGAAAGAUACAUAAUGUUUUUGUAUUAAAAAAGAAAGUAAAGAAAUGUCAUGUCAUUUGUCUUUGUUUUAUUUUUCUGGAUGGCAAGGGAGCUUAUGAAUUAUAAUAAAGAUAUGUAAAUAUUUGGAACAUAAAACAUAUCUUAUCGAUACAAGUGGAUAACUGAUAAUGAGCAUGAGUGAAAACAUUAUGUACAAGAUAAACAUAUAGCCCUAGUUUCAAGAAAGGAGAGGUGUAAGAAACUGAUAUGUAAUUGAUUUGUGUUAUAUUAUUCAAGAGGCAAAGCCACAAACUUAUAGAUACAAAAGCAUCCUAAUAUGGUUCCUACGAUCAAGC
rnacentral:lncRNA from 1 species